CUUCCGUUCUAUCUCUUACACUUCUUGCAUGUUACGCGGAGGAGCGCUGAGUUUACUCUCACGUAGGGUCUGCUGUGUCUCCUGUUAAACGAGUGCUGUGGCAGCCAUGGGAUAGUUAGCCUUGACUUUGAGGCCAAAGGCAGAGCAGCGUGGGACUGAAAGUCCUGCUGCAGGCCGACUGAUGGAGCAUUUGGGGCAGGGGGCAGCAGGACAAUCUGCAGUGAACUGACACUGCUCUGGUUCAGUGUAUUCCUGCCAGUCCGGAGGAUCAGUCCACCCGCUGAGACCUGACUGGGUGCAUCCCUGUCUGCUCAACAUGAUCGAGGCUCUAAACACAACUGGUCUCAUACAUUUUGGUAAAUAAUGUCCUGAAGGAAUCUACAGGAAAUUAUCUGUUUAGAUAGUCCAUCAUUAAUAUGGUGUAUAUAUUCUCUCUCACAAACAAUUGUCAUGUGUAUAGACCUGGUUGAAGAUUCAAGUAUUUUGGUUCUUUUGGCUGCCUACAUUCGUAUUUAAGGCUUUGUGGCAUCGUCUGUGAAUAUAUUAAGACACUGCUUGUUGCUCUUAAGGCAUCAAAUGACCAUGUUUUAAUAAAAAAAAAAGAAAUCUGGA